rnacentral:lncRNA from 1 species
CGCGCGCGUCCGCGCGGGUCGCCAUCGCGCGCACGUCCCACAGCUUCAUCGUCUGGUCCUUGCAGUUUGACACGAAGUGCCGCGCGUCGUCGCGAGAGUCGAGCGACGUCACGCCCUCAGGGUCGUUCCAUACGAGCGAAUGUCGGGGUGGAGUUGAAAGGCGUCAGAUGGAGUUGAAAGGCGUCGCGGUAGGGUAUUGAAAGCGAGGGAUGGGCGGAGAGAUGCGACGGCAAAAGUCCUUAAGGAUCGGCAUUCACCACGCCAACGCGGUCGUACGGGGACCAGUGUAUAGGACGCACCUCCGUGUGCCCGAUCAGCACCCCCGCGGGGCCGCCUCCGCGCGCGGCGUCCGACGGCGCGCGGAGGUCCCACACCGCGCACAUGCAGUCGUCGCUGCCGGUGUAUAAGACGUGGGAGGAUCCGGGCUCCGCCCACGCGACGGCGUUGACGUCGUUGACGUGGCCGCUUCGGGUCGUUCCGUAGGAAGCGACGAUAUCGGGGUGGAGUCGAAAGGCGUCAGACGGAGUCGAAAGGCGUCGUAGGGUCGGACGUUGAAACCGAGGGACCCUGGGCGGAGAGAAACACGCGCCGGGAGAGAAAGUCCUUAAGGAUCGGCGUUCACCACGCGAAUGCGGUCGUAUGGGGACCAGUGUGAGAAGGACGCGCCUGAGGCGGUGGACGGAGACGUCGCGUUCGACGUCGUGAACGUACGCGGCGCCGUCGCUCGCGCCGGCGACGAGCGUCGCGCCGUCGCCCGCGAACUUGAAGCACCAUAUCCCGAACCGCCGCUCGCGGUGCCGGUUGUUCGGGGUUUCGCCGAUGUGUAACGCAUCGUGGAUGUCCGUUAUGUUCGCGACCGACCGCCGCGUCUCUCGGUUGCCCACGUCCACCAUGUGAAUGAUCGGCGUGAUGGACGAGUACGCGAGAUGCCUGAGGGUCGUUCCAUCGUUCAAAGCGACGAAUGUCGGGGUGGAGUUGAAAGGCGUCAGGCGUGAAGUUGAAAGGCAUCGAGGUGUGUCGGGAUUGAAAGCGAGGGACCCUGGGCGGAGAGAAACGCAGGGAGAGAAAGUCCUUAAGGAUCGGCGUUCACAUCGCCGACGCGGUCGUAUGGGGACUAGUGUGAAAAGAGAACGCGCCUCAAGUCUGGCGCGAUCACCGCGUCCGUCACCGUCCACCGCAAAUUCCUGCAGUGAAUCUCCUUCACGAUCUUAAAGCCCUCCUCGACGUCGUACACGCGCGCGACGCGGUCCUGGAACCCACACGCGAACAGCGACCCGUCCGGGGAGAAUCGGCCGCAGUAGGCUCGCGAGUCCAACUGACGAGGAGGCGGGCGCGAGGGUCGAGGGAGGGAGGGUCCGCGCGAGGCGACGGCGUCGGGGUGGAGUUGAAAGGCGUCAGUUGGAGUUGAAAGCCGUCGAGGGUGGGGAUUGAAAGCAGCGAGGGGUGGGCGGAGAGUGACGAACGCCGGGAGAGAAAGUCCUUAAGGAAUGAAGUUCACAACGCGAACGGGGUCGUAUGGGGAGCAGUCUCAGACGCGCCUGGUCCACGAGGCGGUCGUGAUGCACGGGGAGGAAGCGCGACGCGAGCGCGACGCGCUCGCGCGAGCGCCCGGACGCGUGCCGCGCCGCGAGCCCGGACUCGCGGCGGCGCAGGAG